rnacentral:rRNA from 1 species
GGGUUGUGAGGUUAAGCGACUAAGCGUACACGGUGGAUGCCCUGGCAGUCAGAGGCGAUGAAGGACGUGCUAAUCUGCGAUAAGCGUCGGUAAGGUGAUAUGAACCGUUAUAACCGGCGAUUUCCGAAUGGGGAAACCCAGUGUGAUUCGUCACACUAUCAUUAACUGAAUCCAUAGGUUAAUGAGGCGAACCGGGGGAACUGAAACAUCUAAGUACCCCGAGGAAAAGAAAUCAACCGAGAUUCCCCCAGUAGCGGCGAGCGAACGGGGAGCAGCCCAGAGCCUGAAUCAGUGUGUGUGUUAGUGGAAGCGUCUGGAAAGGCGUGCGAUACAGGGUGACAGCCCCGUACACAAAAAUGCACAUACUGUGAGCUCGAUGAGUAGGGCGGGACACGUGGUAUCCUGUCUGAAUAUGGGGGGACCAUCCUCCAAGGCUAAAUACUCCUGACUGACCGAUAGUGAACCAGUACCGUGAGGGAAAGGCGAAAAGAACCCCGGCGAGGGGAGUGAAAAAGAACCUGAAACCGUGUACGUACAAGCAGUGGGAGCACGCUUAGGCGUGUGACUGCGUACCUUUUGUAUAAUGGGUCAGCGACUUAUAUUCUGUAGCAAGGUUAACCGAAUAGGGGAGCCGAAGGGAAACCGAGUCUUAACUGGGCGUUAAGUUGCAGGGUAUAGACCCGAAACCCGGUGAUCUAGCCAUGGGCAGGUUGAAGGUUGGGUAACACUAACUGGAGGACCGAACCGACUAAUGUUGAAAAAUUAGCGGAUGACUUGUGGCUGGGGGUGAAAGGCCAAUCAAACCGGGAGAUAGCUGGUUCUCCCCGAAAGCUAUUUAGGUAGCGCCUCGUGAAUUCAUCUCCGGGGGUAGAGCACUGUUUCGGCAAGGGGGUCAUCCCGACUUACCAACCCGAUGCAAACUGCGAAUACCGGAGAAUGUUAUUACGGGAGACACA